GAUGAAUGCUGGCGGCGUGCCUAAUACAUGCAAGUCGAGCGAACAGACGAGGAGCUUGCUCCUCUGACGUUAGCGGCGGACGGGUGAGUAACACGUGGAUAACCUACCUAUAAGACUGGGAUAACUUCGGGAAACCGGAGCUAAUACCGGAUAAUAUAUUGAACCGCAUGGUUCAAUAGUGAAAGACGGUUUUGCUGUCACUUAUAGAUGGAUCCGCGCCGCAUUAGCUAGUUGGUAAGGUAACGGCUUACCAAGGCAACGAUGCGUAGCCGACCUGAGAGGGUGAUCGGCCACACUGGAACUGAGACACGGUCCAGACUCCUACGGGAGGCAGCAGUAGGGAAUCUUCCGCAAUGGGCGAAAGCCUGACGGAGCAACGCCGCGUGAGUGAUGAAGGUCUUCGGAUCGUAAAACUCUGUUAUUAGGGAAGAACAAAUGUGUAAGUAACUAUACACGUCUUGACGGUACCUAAUCAGAAAGCCACGGCUAACUACGUG
rnacentral:rRNA from 1 species